GGUCGGUCGGUCGGUCGGUCGGUCGGUCGGUCGGUCGAUCUAUCUAUCUCUCUCUCU
rnacentral:miRNA from 1 species